UCACCUUAACCACUCAGCCACCUCAUCAGAACUGUCAGAGAAAGGACAGAAGGAGCCCCCUAGCAGGGAGUGGGAGCUCCUCCAAUCCUGGGGCUGACAUAGGGGAGACUUUUCCAGGGGGGCCCAAUUUGGCUGGGGCCCCUAGUCAUGGGCCCCACUGCCCCCAUUGCGAUGCAAGGUUUGGGGAGGCUGAGCCCCCCUGAUCCUCCAUUACGAGCUGCCCAGGCUACCACUGCUCAGUGUGUGGCCAGUCUCCCUGUGUUCUCUGCUGUUCGUGCUGGGGAGCCUGGCCAGCCUUAAGGGUGGGGCCCCCUGGCAGCCGCUAGGGCUCCAGGGGGUCAAAGGGCACCGUGUGGCAGUGCAAAGGUGCUCACUGUUCUCCCCUGCCCCAGUGCUCCUCCAUGGCCCCAUAGAGGGCUAGGGGGAGCAAGGAGCAACACUAUGUGCUCCAUGCAUCCUGGUCACUGUCCCCACCUGGACUGUGCUGUGAGGGGAGCAUCAGAAGUUGCUGCUCUCUGCCCUCCCCUUAUGCCACCCGGCUCAGGAAAGUGACCUGGAUGCAGGGAGCUUGGAUGAUGUCGCUUUUCGCCCCCCCCUUCAGCUCCUUGGGGUGCCCGGAGGAGCAGCGUUCCAUGGAGGAGUGGGCAGCAAAGCCAGUGCUCCAUGCACACAGGUUAGUGUCCCCACAUGGGUGCAGGAGGGGGUGCAGGGGUUAGAGGGGAAGGGGGUGCAGGAGAGGGGCA